CAAGCCUGGGCAAUGGCGGGCGCCCCUCCCCCAGCCUCGCUGCCGCCUUGCAGUUUGAUCUCAGACUGCUGUGCUAGCAAUCAGCGAGACUCCCUGGGCAUAGGACCCUACGAGCCAGGUGCGGGAUAUAAUCUCGUGUUGCACCGUUUUUUAAGCCUGUCGGAAAAGCGCAGUAUUCUGGUGGGAGUGACCCGAUUUUCCAGGUGCCGUCCAUCACUCCUUUCUUUGACUCAGAAAGGGAACUCCCUGACCCCUUGCGCUUCCCAAGUGAGGCAAUGCCUCGCCCUGCUUCGGCUCGCGCACGGUGCACGCACCCACUGACCUGCGCCCACUGUCUGGCACUCCCUAGUGAGAUGAACCCGGUACCUCAGAUGGAAAUGCAGAAAUCACCCGUCUUCUGCGUCGCUCACGCUGGGAGCUGUAGACCGGAGCUGUUCCUAUUCGGCCAUCUUGGCUCCUCCCUCUGAAGAGUCCAACAGAAAAUUUUAAGUACCUGUUUAAAGCAAUUUACAAGAUACUGUGGAGAUUCCCAGCAAUAAAGAAUGUACUAUAGUUAAGCUGGAAUCCAACUCCUGAAUUUCUGGAGCCCUGAAGACCACUUAGUCUUACUCACAAGAAUUGAAUGGAAUGUGAAUCUACACUCAGGUGAAGCCAGGGUAUUUUGAACGUCCCUACAAGACUGAAGCACCACUGGGAAAUAAGUAAUAGAGAUGCCAUCAUUGUGGAGGUCAUAAUGCUUGUCCUGAACACGAGGGGUCUCUAGUGAAAACAUUUGCUGACUGCUGUUCUAUCUAGGAUAUCAUCAGUGUGUAGAUGAUCAGAGUUCAUGUCAGUGUUCCUACAAGCCAAUGAAGAAAAACAGAGAUCUGUGUUCUGAAUGGAAAAAUUCCUACUGAUGCCACCCACUAGUCUGGAACAAGUCAGUCUCAAACAUAACAACAGACACUGGGGAGCUCUCCAACAAAAGAUCACCUCCCAAAGAACAGGAUGGUGUCGAAGACUGAAUGCCAGCCUGAGGAAACAGAAAUACUACAGAAGCACGCCAGAGCCUGCAGUGUCUCCUCGCUGCCUCUCAAUGAACUGCUAAAAGACCAAGAACUCUGCUGAGAGAUAAGAAGAGGGGAGGGUGUGCUGCAGGUGGUGCUGGGAGGCCCAGACCUUCUCCUGACAUCUGGGGCUGGCUACAGGAAACAGAAACAUCACCCAGGCCUUGGCGCGAGACAGGACAGAGGCAGAUUGUGACUCAGAUCUGCAGGUGGAAAGUGGGCCUUUCGUUUUCUCCUAGGGGUAGAGCAAAGCCAGAGGGCUCAGUCAGAGGAAACCUAAGGCAGUUCAUGAUCCCUUCAACUUUAUACCAUUUCCUCAAAACUGCCUCCAAACAGUGGGCAACUGGAAAGGUGGUCUGACCUCCAGUGAUCACACAGUAUGCAUUAUAACAGAAGGCUGUCACUGUCAAUUGCAUGGCUCCCUCACUAUGCAUUCCUUCUAUCAAUUUACGACAACACACUGUAGUGAGUACCUGCACAUUGCUGGGUAUUUUGGCAGACAUUGAUAGUAGAUGAAUAACACCUGGUACUUGACCUUGAGACGCUCACUGCCUAGUGUGGGGAACCAAUGGUUGCAAUAUAAAGUAUUAACUAGAGGGAUAGAGGACUGCCUGAGGAUCUCUGCACUCAGAGGAAGGGCCAUGAGAUCAGCCAGGACAGUAGGGAGGCAGUGACUCAUGAAAUUAGCAAGUGGUGAGAAGAGGGCAGUAGAUUCAGCGGCUGCUAAAAAAGGUUACUGAACUUUUUGUUUCAUCAAUGCCAAGAAAUUAAUCUGUUUUAGCCUCUUUCAUGGCCUCUGUUUGAAAUUUUUUAACUUUUUUUUUUUUUUUAGAUUUAGGGGUACAAGGACAGUUGUAUUGCAUGAGUAUAUCAUAUAGUGGUGAAGCCUGGGCUUUAAGUGCACCUAUCACCCGAAUAGCGUACAUUGUACCCACUAGGUAGUAUUUCAUUUCUCACCCUUCUUCCACCUUUUGGAAUCUCCAGUGUUUGUUGUUCUACUCUGUAUGCCCAUGUGUACUCAUUGUUUCACUCCCACUUAUAAGUGAGAACAUGUGCUUUUGACUUUCUGUUUCUGAGUUGUUUCACUUAGGAUAAUGCAUGUUCCUGUUUUGAUUCAGUCAAAAUCCUGGGGUCAGCACUGACAAUGUGAUUAACCCCUGUCCUAAAUUCACUGCAGAGGAACUGCUCCCAUAUGACUACUUAUUACCACCCAAGCCAGAAACCACAAAGAUAUUCUGACCUCUCCUCCUUCACUCCCCACCAACUGGUGAGUAAGCUAGUCACCAAGUCUUGAUUCUACUUGCAAACAUCUUUGGAAGGGAUCUCUCACUCCACACAGUCUCUGUCAUUGCCAAGUAUACCCAUUACCUCUGCUCUGUCCUACGGCUCAUCAUUCCUCAUCUACAUGCUGCACCAACCUCCUAACUCCCAUUCCUCCCCCUCCUAGUUCACUGCCAUAGCGUAAUCUUUCUAUAUCACGGAUCAUAUUGUGUCCGAAAUUGGUGGGUUCUUGGCCUCACUUACUUCAAGAAUGAAGCUGCAGACCCUCGUGGUGAGCGUUACAGUUCUUAAAGGUGAUGUGUCUGGAGUUUGUUCCUUCUGAUCAUGUUCGGAGUUUCUUCCUUCUGGUGGGUUCGUGGUCUCGUUGGCUUCAAGAGUGAAGCUGCAAACCUUCAAGGUGAGUGUUACAGCUCUUAAGGCAGCGCAUCUGGAGUUGUUUCUUCCUCC
rnacentral:lncRNA from 10 species